rnacentral:rRNA from 1 species
GGGGGCAACCCUGAUCAGCAAUGCCGCGUGUGUGAAGAAGGUUUUCGGAUUGUAAAGCACUUUCGGCGGGGACGAUGAUGACGGUACCCGCAGAAGAAGCCCCGGCUAACUUCGUGCCAGCAGCCGCGGUAAUACGAAGGGGGCUAGCGUUGCUCGGAAUGACUGGGCGUAAAGGGCGUGUAGGCGGUUUGUACAGUCAGAUGUGAAAUCCCCGGGCUUAACCUGGGAGCUGCAUUUGAUACGUGCAGACUAGAGUGUGAGAGAGGGUUGUGGAAUUCCCAGUGUAGAGGUGAAAUUCGUAGAUAUUGGGAAGAACACCGGUGGCGAAGGCGGCAACCUGGCUCAUGACUGACGCUGAGGCGCGAAAGCGUGGGGAGCAAACAGGAUUAGAUACCCUGGUAGUCCACGCUGUAAACGAUGUGUGCUGGAUGUUGGGCAACUUAGUUGUUCAGUGUCGUAGCUAACGCGAUAAGCACACCGCCUGGGGAGUACGGCCGCAAGGUUGAAACUCAAAG